GUGUAUGCAGGACUUCGAAAGAAAUUUAAAUUGGCAAUUUCAAAAUUACUCCAAAAAUGGCAGAGAUUGUAGUCACCACUUAACCCCUGGUGGUCAUUAACGAUAAAAUCCAAGGAGUUAUUUUGUGCAAGAUAUUGUGGGUUUUGGUGAAUAAAAUCUCGAGUAACGUUCCAUAAAGAAGGGAGGGUUUCAUAAUAAUCCGUCAUUGAUAUGACAAACCCAUACGCCUUAUUCUCGUCACU